rnacentral:lncRNA from 1 species
AGAAGAGCAGCCAUCACGGAUACCACAGGGCUAUCUUAAGAGUGAGAAAAACCAUUUCUUUUUCUGCUGCAGCCCUCGUUGCUCUGGGGAAUGCUGCAGCCAGCUGCAAACAGCUGCUUCUUCCUCCUGCCUUGAUACAGCAUUGGUGUUAGUGGGAGCGAAAGCGUGGUCUCAGGAGUUAGCUUGUCUGUGCUGGGAAGGGAGCCCUAUUAGGCUCUCAGCAGAGUCAGGAUAGUGUUUCUGCCCCAACAGUGCUUUACACAGAACGUUUAAGAUUAGAAGAGACAUCUUAACCAUCCUGCUCUAAGCUUCCUGCUUGAAUAUAGUGUCAGCAAGGCUGGAAACGCUGGGUGUGCAUCAAGGAUACAAGCUGCAGAGCUAAGGAAUGAAUGUAGGAUUAGAUCAUGCACACUGCUCAUCUGCUGCGUGCUGCUGGGCACAGUGCAGUUGGCUGAUCUGCAAGUCUAUCCGUGUGUCCUGUUGAGAGAGGUUCCUACUGUCUCUGGAAGAAAACAAGUUUGUCCAAGGAACAGCAGCAGCCUUUGGAGUAUGGAAAACCACAGAAGAAA